rnacentral:lncRNA from 1 species
UUUCACUUAUAAUUCAAACUGGGCCGGAAAACCUAAAUUCGGCCCAACAAAUGGCCCAAAAGAAAAUAUUUCCUAAAGUACGAAACUUCAACGAAUUAUUUGAUUCGUCUUCACUCCAAAUCAGCUUUUGACUUCAACAUAAAAGUUGUAUCUCUUUCUCUUAGCAUUCCAAUGCAUGUCAGAACUUGCAAAACGGCAUCCCAUAGCUCAAGUUAUGAUCCGAACAGUGGACAUGUAUCAAAU